rnacentral:rRNA from 1 species
UACGAAGGGGGGCUAGCGUUGCUCGGAAUCACUGGGCGUAAAGCGCACGUAGGCGGAUUGUUAAGUCAGGGGUGAAAUCCUGGAGCUCAACUCCAGAACUGCCUUUGAUACUGGCGAUCUCGAGUCCGGGAGAGGUGAGUGGAACUGCGAGUGUAGAGGUGAAAUUCGUAGAUAUUCGCAAGAACACCAGUGGCGAAGGCGGCUCACUGGACUGGUAUUGACGCUGAGGUGCGAAAGCGUGGGGAGCAAACAGGG